rnacentral:rRNA from 1 species
CCUACGGGAGGCAGCAGUGAGGAAUAUUGGUCAAUGGACGCGAGCCUGAACCAGCCAAGUAGCGUGAAGGAUGACUGCCCUACGGGUUGUAAACUUCUUUUAUAAAGGAAUAAAGUGAGGCACGUGUGUCUUUUUGUAUGUAUCUUAUGAAUAAGGAUCGGCUAACUCCGUGCCAGCAGCCGCGGUAAUACGGAGGAUCCGAGCGUUAUCCGGAUUUAUUGGGUUUAAAGGGUGCGUAGGUGGUUUGUUAAGUCAGAUGUGAAAGUUCGCGGCUCAACCGUGGAAUUGCAAUUGAUACUGGCAGGCUUGAGUGCAGUUGAGGUAGGCGGAAUUCGUGGUGUAGCGGUGAAAUGCUUAGAGAUCACAAAGAACUCCGAUUGCGAAGGCAGCUUACUAAACUGCCACUGACGUUGAUGCUCGAAAGUGUGGGUAUCAAACAGGAUUAGAUACCCUGGUAGUC